GUGGUGCGCGAUUGGCCGUCCAAAUCGUCCCACCCUGGAGUCACAGUGACCUAUGUUUCUCCUUCUCUCAUUGGCUGUUGGGUCAUCAUGUGGGCGUCCUGCAGCUUUUUGCCAGGAAAAAGGGACGAGGCCAAAGGUAUGGCUCCGUCCUCUGGAGCAGGACAGGUGGACACGGCUGGAGACACACACAGGUUACCUUGACGAUGCACUCUCUGGACAAGGUGCUGUUGAAAGCCGAGCGCAGGAGAGGACGGCGAGGACAGAUCGCUGUCGAUGAUGUCACACUGAGACAGGGGGCGUGUCGAUGACAUCAUGCAGUCUGGGGACACUGAGCCGUCGCCUCACAGACGACGUUUUUAUUAAAGACUGGAUUUAACUCUUAAAGGACCACGCUGCCUUUUUAAAAAGUGAAUAUGAAACUUUUCGGAAUAAUAAAGUGUUUUACAUGAAUCUUAAAUUAUCUUCAUGUGAGAAGAUGACAGACUUUAGAAGAGAUUUUUGUUUUUCUUUUCUCUUUUGUUUCUUUGUUCCUUUGUUUUGGACGGACGCUCAGUGGACUGAAAACAAGAGACAAACUUAACUUUUCCCUAAAAUCUGCUUCAAACUAACUGGUUUUAAGAUGUGGAAUAAUUACUUUUAAUGUUGUAAACUUUUAUGAA